ACAACUAGCUCUCCAAAAGAAAAAAGAUAGAACUGAUUUGUAGUUUUUGCCAAUUUGUGUAGUGUGAAUUCUCCCCCUAUGACUGAUUUCAAGUUACCAAUGGAUUAACAACCAGCUCAAAAAAUUUCUGAAAAUUUAACGAUUGGCCAGUAUGAGCUGGCUCCAGAAUACAACUGAAUAAAAGAGAUUGGAAUGAGUUGAGCUGGAUCAGAUAUCUUAUACCCAGAACUAAAUGGUGUUCUCCCACAAGAACACACUGUGCCCCUAACUUACACUGCCCACAAAAGAGGCGUCACGGGACUCCUGCCGGAGCGAGGGAGUGGAUAAACAAUCAGUGUAGUCAAGAGAGAACAACAACAGCACCCUUUAACAGGACCCAAUUAUCCCCUUCCAUAACUCCUAUUCCCCCAUCCAACUCCCCUCACCUGAGCAGCGGAGAUGCUCAAAGAAAGACUGCAGCACACAGGAGCCUCGGUGCUAACAUGGUCAAUCUGCACAAUCUCCAAGGAGGUGAUUUGGACCCCUACCUGACUCCACAGCAGACUCUAUUCGACCACUUGCUCUGGAAUGCAGAGUUGGAGUUACCUGUCUCUGUUCCCCAUUGGACUGGGUACUCUUCAAAUGUAUUAACCACAAGUUUGGCUUUGAAGAGUAAAUGAAUGAACGAGGCACAGUGAGGCAGCUUGUUUCCACAAGGUCUGAAGUCUCAUCCAGAAGACUGGAAGGCUUGAGACUGGAACCAUCUGAAUGCUUGUUCACUCACAUGGCUUAUGGCUGAUGUCACUGCUGGCUGAGGGUCUUUCUAGGGCUGCAUCUGGAAGAGCUUCUUGUGGCUCUUUCUCCAUGCAGCCUGGGCUUUGUCUCAACAUGGUGUCUGGUUUCCAAGGCAGUCCUACAGAGGAAAACCAGGAGAGCAAAAUGUUGUGGAUUCCAGGUGAAAAAAACUGUAAAAAGGAAGAAGUGAACAACUCUGUCAAAUACUGAUAAUCCAGGAAGAUGAGGCCUGAGAUUUGAUCACUGGAUUUAGCAAAGUCCCCCCGGUACAUAGUUGUAUAUUCUUCAUUGUGGGUCCAUCUAGUUGUGGCAUGUGGGACGCCGCCUCAGCGUGGUUUGAUGAGGAGUGCCAUGUCAGCGCCCAGGAUUCGAACCAACGAAACACUGGGCCGCCUGCAGCGGAGCACACGAACUUAACCACUCGGCCACGGGGCCAGCCCAAAUUUUUAUUUCUGUUAAUUUGUAAUAGGCUUAUUCUUUUAUUUUAUUUAAAAAUCCACCCAUUUAUUAAACAAACUUACUGAGUGUUUACUAUGUAAUAAACACUGAAGAUUCUGAGAUAAUUUGUACAGCUCACUGCAUUAUGGAGAAAGCAGAUACAGAAACAAAUAAAACAGUUAUAAUGUUGUGAUAAUAUUUUCUGCCUGUGGGUAUAGCUACAUUUCCCACUUUCUGUUCCUUCUUCCCAGAAUGCUCCUCACCUCUAUCCCCUAUCUUCUCACAGGUGGUUCCUCAUCAUUUGAGGUCUCAGCUAAAAUAUCCCCUCCUCAGAAAAAGACUUCCCUACCCUAUCAGAUAAAUUAUCUGAAGUAUCCUAAGCCAGCCCCCUCCAUGAACACAUCUGAAGACACUAACCGAUAGAAUAUGCCAAAUGUGGUGGCUUACGCAUGAUGGUAUGGUUCUCUCACAUAGGACUGUAGUGCUUCUUAUGCUGGAGUUUCUCCCUCUCUCCUCUGCUGACUUUGAGGAAGCAAGUGGCCAUGUUGGGGAACCCCACGUAGGAAGAAACUACAGGUGGCCUCAAAGAGCUGAAGGCGGCCUCCAACAACCCACAACCAGCAGGAAACCAAAUCCCUCAGUCCUACAACUGCAAGAAACUGAGUUCUGCAAACAGCCUGAAUUAGCCCUGAGCUAACAUCUGCUGCCAAUCCUACUCUUUUGGCUGAGGAAGACUGGCCCUGAGCUAACAACCGUGCCCAUCUUCCUCUACUUUCUAUGUGGGACGCCUACCACAGCAUGGUUUGACAAGUGGUGCCAUGUCCGCACCUGGGAUCCGAACUGGCGAACCCCUUAGCUGCAGAAGCAGAAUGUGUGCACUUAACCGCUGCGCCACCGGGCGGGCCCCAUUAUUCAUUUUAUAACUGAAACUUUGUACCCUUUUACCGACAUCUCCAUAUUUUGCCCACACCUCAGCCCCUGGCAACCACUUCUCUACUCUGUUUCUAAGAAUCGGACCUUUUUUUCUCUUAAAUUCCACAUAUAAGUGAUAGCAUACAGUAUCUGUCUUCCUGUUCCUGGCUUAUUUCACUUAGCAUAAUGUCCUCCAGGUUCACACAUGUUGCAAAUGACAGGAAUUUCUUCUUUUUUAAAGCUGAAUAUUCCAUUGUAUACUUAUACCACAUUUUCUUGAUCUAUUCAUCCCUAACAGAUACUUUAGGUUGUGUCCACAUCUUGGCUAUUGUGACUAAUGCUUCAAUGACCAUGAGCUUUCAAAUAUCUCUUUGAGGUAUGUUUUGGUUUACUUUGGAUAUAUACCCACAAAUGGGAUUUGUGGAUCAUAUUGUAGUUCUUCUUUUCAUUUUUUGGGGAACUUCUAUAAUGUUUUCCAUGGUAGCUUAUAUUCCCACCAACAGUGUAAAAGGUUUCCCUUCCCUCUGGAUCCUCAUCAACAAUUAUCUCUUGUCUAUUUAAUAAUAGUCUUCCUGACAGGUGUGAGGUGAUAACUCAUUGUGGUUUUGAUUUGCAUUUCCCUGAUGAUUAGUGAUGUUGAGCAUCUCUUCAUGUACCUGUUGGCCAAUUGUAUGUUUUCUUCAGAAAAAUAUCUCUAUUCAGGUCCUUUGCCCAUUUUUUAAUUGGAUUAUUUGGGUUUUUUGCUAUUGAGUUGUAUGAGUUUCUAGUAGAUUUUGGCUAUUAACCUCUUAUUGGAUAUGUGAUUUGCAAAUUUUUUCUCCUAUUCCAUAGGCUGCCUUUUCAUUUUGUUGAUGGUUUCUCAUGCUGAGCAGAAGCUUUUUAGUUUGAUGUAGUCCCACUUUUACUUUUGCUCUUGUUACCUUUGCUUUUGGUGUCAAAUGCGAAAAAAUCAUCGCUAAGACCGAUGUCAAGGAGCUUACCCUCUCUGUUUUCUUCCAGGAGUUUCACUGUUUCAAGUCUUACAUCCAAGUCUUUGAUUCAUUUUGAGUUGAUUUUUGUGUAUGGUGCAAGAUAGGGGUCCAAUUUCACUCUUUUGCUUGUGAUAAUCCAGUUUUCCCAGUACCACUUAUUGAAGAGACUAUCGUUUCUCCACUGUAUAUUCUUGGCUCCUUUACUGUAAAUUAGUUGGCUAUGUGUGCAUGGGUUUAUUUCUGGGCCCUCUAUUCUGUCCCGUUGAUCUGUGUGUCUGUUUUUAUGCUGAUAUCAUACUGUUUUGAUUACUAUAGCUUUGUAAUAUAGUUUGAAAUCAGGAAGUGUGAUGCCUCUGGCUUUGUUUUUUUCCUCAAGAUUGCUUUAGCUAUUUGAGGUCUUUUGUGGUUCCAUAAAAACUUUAGCAUUGUUUUCUCUAUCUCUGUGAAAAAUGCCAUUGUCAUUUUUAUAGGAAUUGCACUGAAUCUGUAAAUCCCUUUGGGUAGUAUAGACAUUUUAACAAUAUCAACUCUUCCCAUAUGUGAGCUCAGAAUAUCUUUCCUUUUAUUCGUGUUUUCUUCAGUUUCUUUCAUCACUAUCUUGCAGUUUCAGCGUAUAUAUCGUUCACCACCUUUGUUAAAUUUAUUCCUGAAUGUUUUAUUCUUUUCGAUGCUGUCAUACACGAGAUUAUUUUCUUAAUUUCUCUUUCUGAUAGUUUGUUGCUAGUGUAUAGAAAUGAAACUGGUUUUUGUAUAGUGACUUUUCUAUCCUGCAACUUUACUGAAUUUGUUUAUUAGUUCUAACAGUUUUUGGUGAGGUCUUUAUGAUUUUCUGUAUAUGAUAAAAUGUCAUUUGUGAAUAGAGAUAAUUUUACUUCUUCCUUUCCAAUUUGGAUGACUUUUAUUUCUUUUUCUUGCAUCAUUGCUCUGGCUAGGGCUUUCAGUACUAUGCUGAACAAAAGUGGUGAGAGUGGGCAUCCUACAGGGAGUAUCUCAGCCAGCCCCUGGGUGUAUGUUAAAUUAGAAGCCUGACCCUCAGGCAGCAGCUUUCAAAGUUUGCAGAUGGACCCUUUUAGGGAAAGGCUGGGAGCUGGGCAGUUUUCCUUGCUUCCUCUGUGCUGAGCCAUGGAGGGAUGGCUACAGCGAGUGCUUGCACACCUGUUAAGAGCUGUUUAUUUGUUUGCUGUAUUCUUGAGGGUCUUGUGGACACAAGCUUCACUGGCUUUCAGAACUAGGUGUGUGGGGGCCCAUCCAUCAGGCGAGAGUCUUAAAAGUUGGACCACUAAAUGUGGGGUCCGAACCAAUACUUCUUAGGGAGAAGCUGGCAGGUGAGAGUACUUUGGAGUAGUCAAUAAUUUUUAAGAGAGUAAAGGGGCCCUGAGACCAGAAAGUUUUAGACCCACUGACUUUUAACACUCACUGGAAGGUGAAGACUAGCUCUCAGGGAAAGACUGAGAGGUUGGACAUGUGAGAAAGGAGUUGAGGGGGAGAGUCCUAUCGCAAUAAGCUUUCUGGUGACCUUGACCUACAGCUUGAGGUAAGUCACACCAUCUCUCUGAGGGAAUAGCAGGGAGCAUACAUGGAAAAGCAUCAUAAAGGUGCUUUUUGAGCUAUGAGAGUCCUUCUAACUUUGAAUAAUACAAGGGUAUUUAUUUAAUAAAUAAUUUACAUAAUUUUAUCUAUAUGUAAGACAAUGGCAUAUUUUUGAAAUCUCCAUAAAGCCCAUUUGUUUUAAAGGUUUAGAAGUUUAUUUUUUCUUUUCUGAUUAUGAAAGCAAUAGAUGUUCACUAUAGAAAAUAUAGAAAAUUCUGAAAAGUGUUGAGGAAAUAUGAAUUAGUUGUAAUUCUACACCUGGAAAGAAUGAGUUAGUGUAUUAUCUAUUUCCUUCUGUCUCUAUUUUUUAAACAAAAUUGUUAUCAUGCUGUAUAUAUAAUUUUACAUCCACUGUAUUUACUUAACCUCUUACUAUGAGCAUUUUCUCAUUUGACAAUCAUUUGAAAUCAUUAUAUGUAGUGGAGCAAAAUAUUCCACUGAGAUUAUACAAUAAUUUAUUUAGCCAAUCUGCUACAGUUGGACAUGAGUUUGUUCCCCCCGUUUUCCUUCUUUUAUAAAGAAUAUUUGAAUGUGUCUCUCUCUAUAUACUCAUUUAUUCUGUACACACACACACACGCUCUCAUGCACAUGCCAAGAACUCUGCAUAUGUUCUUGUCUACAUCACUGGUUCAAAAAUAUUCAUUCUCCUGAAGGAAAUAAAUAUGGCAAAGAUGUAACCUCCUCCAAAAUUAACUUAUAAAUUUAUUGGCAAUUACAAUAAAAGUUCCAGUGUAUUUUUUUUUUUAAGAUGAUGAAAUGAGCCUAAAGUUCAUGUGCAGAAGUUAAUAGAUAAGAAAGAUUUUGAAAUUGAAGACAUAAUUGUGGAGUAAUGGUGGUGAUAAAAGAUAUUAAAAUGUAUUAUAAAACUAAAAUAAUUAAAACAGCAUGGUUUUAUAAUAAGGAUUGGCAGACAAAAUAAUAAAAUUGCCUGGAAGCAUAAUACAGCAUCCAUAGAAAUUUAGUAUUUCAUUAAAGGUAGUAUCAUAAAUAAGUAGUGACUCUGA
ensembl:lncRNA